rnacentral:rRNA from 1 species
GACGAACGCUGGCGGCGUGCUUAACACAUGCAAGUCGUACGGUAAGGCCCUUUCGGGGGUACCCGAGUGGCGAACGGGUGCGUAACACGUGAGUAACCUGCCCACAACUUUGGGAUAACGCUAGGAAACUGGUGCUAAUACUGGAUAUGUGCUCCUGCUGCAUGGUGGGGGUUGGAAAGCUCCUGCGGUUUUGGAUGGACUCGCGGCCUAUCAGCUUGUUGGUGGGGUAGUGGCCUACCAAGGCGGCGACGGGUAGCCGGCCUGAGAGGGUGACCGGCCACAUUGGGACUGAGAUACGGCCCAGACGCCUACGGGAGGCAGCAGUGGGGAAUAUUGCACAAUGGGCGCAAGCCGGAUGCAGCAACGCCGCGUGCGGGAUGACGGCCUUCGGGUUGUAAACCGCUUUCAGCAGGGACGAAGCUUUUUGUGACGGUACCUGCAGAAGAAGCACCGGCUAACUACGUG